ensembl:lncRNA
UUGCUAUACGUAGUUUGAUUGUAGAGUCUAUUGUUUGAGACACAUGGAAGCUCACCUUUACAGGUGCGUAAGGCUGACUUACCGGGUACCAGCCCUCUAAGAAUGAUCAGUCUGGCUCUGCCAAAGCCAGAUAGUUUAUUGGUUGCAACUUUGAUGAGGUCGUAGCAGUGUGAUGGGAUUUUGCUAAAAUUCCAAUAACCCUGUGCCCAGUCACACCAACAUGCUAGAUGGGGAAUGUUUCCAGACCGGCUCCCUGUUCUCUUUUGCUAAAUUCAGUUUUAGUAAGGGGCAAAAUAUGACCUGCUUUACCUAGUGGAGGUAGCCAAAGCCUGCAGCUCUUUUUCCUCCCUCCCUCCCCACUCUCUGCCUGGGCUGCAGGGGGGAAGCACUGGAAAUCCGGUUGCUGGAGGAAUGUUAGUGUAAUGCAUCCGUCAGGGGGUGUGUGUUGUGGAUCCCCUCUGCCGGAUCCCCAGGGGAUGGGAGUCCGUGACCCUUCCCCACUACAGAACUGGGCCCUAGCUCAAGCUGUAUCGGCUCAUGCGUUGGGCACUGGAGGUCCCUGGUGAUGGCCAAGAUGGCAGCGGGACUUCAAAGGGAACCAGCCUCUCUCCUGCCCCGCCCUGUGCUCAGCAGCAUAAAAGAAUCAGCAGAUGUAGGAGGCUUCCCAUGGGCGAUAAGAACUGGAGACAGUUGUGCCAAAGCACUGUCUGAUGCUCUCAACAGCUGCGUUUAAGCUGACGUUACAAGUUGUGAAUUUUUCAUUUCCCUUUAGAACAUGAAGAAAAAGAAGGAGCAGCAGGGAACAGCAAACCGCGCCCAGCGGGGCCCGGGGGCCUCAGCCUGCUCCCACCCCCGCCUGCAGGGAGAUCUCCUGCUCUGAUCCCUCCUCCAGGGGAGCAGCUUCCAACAUGCCCUGCGGAUUCCCAGCCAGCAAGUGCCGCUAACACAGAUGCCGCUUUGUCUUGGCCACAGCCCGGUGGUGCCACCACAGCCGCCAGCGCCGAUAUCUGGGGAGACUUUGCCAAAGCGUCAGGGUCUGCGUCUAACCAGAACCAGCAGAGCCCGGGCUGGGUUCAGUUCUAAACCAGACACCCUGUCUGCCUUCCUGUGUGGAUGCUGGGGAAGGAACCUCUUCUCUUCACUGUGGACCAAAGCCUGGGGGGAGCCCCCCUGCACCCUACUCUCUGAGCUAACAGGCCACUUCAAGAGAGCCCAGUCCAUGACUGGUUGCAGCCUUUGUAGCUUUCUUGGGCAUUACAAGAAAGGGGUGAGAGCUAUGCAAAAACCAAAAAGUGCCCUGUGACUGCAGUGUGGAAAUAAGUGCCCCAGCGCUGGGGAGUGUGGGAGAGAGAUGCCUUAAACUCUGAACUCUCAACAGAAACCAGCAGCCGCAGCGGCUGGGGCUCUUAAUUCUGCUCUGAGAUCACAGCAAACCAUAGAGGACUAUAAACCUGGAGGGGGGGAGCGAUUGUCCCCCCACUUCUCCAAACCAGCACACUGUGGUGUUUACAUAUUUCCAACAAGGAUGCUUUUGCGUAUCGCUUCUUCCUCCCUCUCCUUAUUUGCAGCCUGUUGACUAACGUAACUGAGGAUAGCCAAAGACAGUAGCUCGACCUGGUCCCCUUCAACAAACAGGUGCUUUAUUAAAGAGCUGGUGGUGAGGAGGGAGUGAAGAGCAGUAUCAGAAGACUCCAGUUUGGAUUAAAUCUUGUUAGCAGUUGCUGUCUGAUGUGCUAAUGGGCUAUGCAAUGCAAUAGAUGUGGAAUGACGCGUGCAGCAAGGGAUCUGCAGGGUUGACAACUAGCGACCCCUGCCACGGCAGCUGGGUACUGCCAUGAGAUACCUCAGCUGUAUGCCAGGGCACUUCUCACCUUGAAUAGUUUGUUGUUGGGGUGGUGGUGGAAGAAAUCCUCCCCGUCUGGCAGGGGGCAGGACAGUGAUAUAGAGGCAGCAAGACCUUUAAUGCUGCCAAGAACUGUUCUAGUGUUGUCCUUGGCAAGACUUUUCAACAGCAAAUUGUUGCGUGUCUUCUGAAGUGCACCUUGUCACUGAGACGUGCCUCUUUGGAAGGUGCUCACAGCCUGCCUGGGAGCUUCUGAGCACUUAGAUUAACUACAAUAGGUAACUCUGAUGGGGAAAAGCUGUUAAUUGGACGACUCUGGUUAAUUAGCUGCAUCUAAGCAAAACUCUGAAAUUCCUUAUAAGUUUUCAUGCUUUGCUAUUAAGUCUCUGACAUAGCUAGAUGCAAUGAAGGACAGAGCUUUGGUUGCCUUUUUUAUGGAGCUGGGCUUAAGAUUUCUCUUUCAAAAAAAUAUUUUCUUAUCUAUUUAUUUCGAGGUGAAGGCCUUUAACAGUAUGAAGUCCUGCUAUUUUUUUUAAGUGUUCCAACUUUUGUCUUUUUUUUUAAUUAUUAUUUCAAACUGGAUGAUGAGGAUUUGAUUUCUGAUAUUUAAAAAAAAAUUCCUGAGAAUGUGUUUAAUUUUGCCUCUUUGAGCCACUGGAAGAGCACCUAGGAAAAACAGGUGGGAAAUGUAACAUUGAAUUAACAAUAAAGUGUUUUGAGGGUAAGUAUGAUUCCUGUUU